UACAGAGAGUGCAAGCGUUAAUCGGAAUCACUGGGCGUAAAGCGCAUGUAGGUGGGUAUUUAAGUCGGAUGUGAAAUCCCUGGGCUUAACCUGGGAAUUGCAUUCGAUACUGGAUAUCUCGAGUAUGGUAGAGGGAAGUGGAAUUUCCGGUGUAGCGGUGAAAUGCGUAGAUAUCGGAAAGAACAUCAGUGGCGAAGGCGGCUUCCUGGACCAAUACUGACACUAAAGUGCGAAAGCGUGGGGAGCAAACAGG
rnacentral:rRNA from 1 species